rnacentral:rRNA from 1 species
AACGAACGCUGGCGGCAUGCCUAACACAUGCCAGUCGAACGAGACCUUCGGGUCUAGUGGCGCACGGGUGCGUAACGCGUGGGAACCUGCCCUUAGGUUCGGAAUAACUCCCCGAAAGGGGUCUUAAUACCGGAUAAUGUCUUCGGACCAAGGAUUUAUCGCUUUUGGAUGGGCCCGCGUUGGAUUAGCUAGUUGGUAGGGUAAAAGCCUACCAAGGCGACGAUCCAUAGCUGGUCUGAGAGGAUGAUCAGCCACACUGGGACUGAGACACGGCCCAGACUCCUACGGGAGGCAGCAGUGGGGAAUAUUGGACAAUGGGCGAAAGCCUGAUCCAGCAAUGCCGCGUGAGUGAUGAAGGCCUUAGGGUUGUAAAGCUCUUUUACCCGGGAUGAUAAUGACAGUACCGGGAGAAUAAGCUCCGGCUAACUCCGUG